CACAGUGUAGCAAUACAUGGGUGGCGACCGGCAAACGGGUGCGGAACACGUACGCAACCUUCCUUCAGGCGGGGAAUAGCCCAGAGAAAUUUGGAUUAAUACCCCAUAAUAUUUUGAGAUGGCAUCAUCUUAUUAUUAAAGCUACGGCACCUGGAGAUGGGCGUGCGGCUGAUUAGGUAGUUGGCGGGGUAAUGGCCCACCAAGCCUACGAUCAGUAGCUGAUGUGAGAGCAUGAUCAGCCACACGGGCACUGAGACACGGGCCCGACUCCUACGGGAGGCAGCAGUAAGGAAUAUUGGUCAAUGGACGCAAGUCUGAACCAGCCAUGCCGCGUGGAGGAUGAAGGUCCUCUGGAUUGUAAACUUCUUUUAUCUGGGACGAAAAAAGGGUUUUCUAACUCGUCUGACGGUACCAGAUGAAUAAGCACCGGCUAACUCCGUGCCAGCGGCCGCGGUAAUACGGAGGGUGCAAGCGUUAUCCGGAUUCACUGGGUUUAAAGGGUGCGUAGGCGGGCAUUUAAGUCAGUGGUGAAAUACCUGAGCUUAACUUGGGAACUGCCAUUGAUACUAUUUGUCUUGAAUGUCGUGGAGGUUAGCGGAAUAUGUCAUGUAGCGGUGAAAUGCUUAGAUAUGACAUAGAACACCUAUUGCGAAGGCAGCUAACUACGCGAAUAUUGACGCUGAGGCACGAAAGCGUGGGGAUCAAACAGGAUUAGAUACCCUGGUAGUCCACGCCCUAAACGAUGAUUACUCGACAUUAGCGAUACACUGUUAGUGUCUGAGCG
rnacentral:rRNA from 1 species